CGCCGAGCCGCGGCCGCCGCCGCCCGCCCGCCCCCCGGGAGCCCGGGACUCCGGCGAGGUCGAGGUGUCAGGACAUCUGCACUCGGGCCGCCCACCCCUAGGGCUCCGCACGGCGGGGGCUCUGCACACUACACCCCGGUCCUCGGCCUCGCAGGGAGCCCGGCCGCCCCCCGGACACCAGCCCUGGAGAGAGGAAGAGAAGACAAGGGGACAGAAGAAGUGCUUCCCGCAGAGGGGACACUGCUGUGAGUCUGCUGGAUUUAAAAGUGCGGCCUCUUUGAAACAAAUACCGUGAUCUACCAGAUCCAAUACCACAUCAAUUAUAAGACGUACCCUUUUUAUCUCCACUAUAAAUGCAAAAGCACUGUCAAGUAACUGCAAGAAGCCACUGAUUAUAAGACAUCUGAGUUAUGGAGAUGUUGAAAACAAAAAGGCAUCUUAGAACCCAUGAACUACGAAACCUGAAUUUGUGAAGACAGUACUACAUUUAAAGACUCACUGGAACUCGCCUUAAAUAACGUCCAGCUAAAGCAACCAUGCGACACUGAAUGAAUCAUGACUUAGCUGCAGUUAUUUCACUUCUAAAAGAAAAGGAAUAAACUAGGUAUUAUCUUGUUCUCAAGCUUUAAUCUCUCUGAUUGGCAACUUCCCUAGAUUUGAUAUUGGUCAGGCCUGGAAGAACAGAACAUCAAUUUAGUUUUCUACUUGAGGAUGUGCGUCUUGAAUGGCUGGAGGAAAUGCAGAAAUUGUGGAAAUGUGGGAAUUAGUGAAAAUGCAAAAUGGAUCAGAGAGAAAUUUCACGAAUUUGCUUAGGUUCAACCCUAACAGGUAAAUUAAACAAUUGAUACUUAUGCGUUUUUUUUUUUUUAACAUGUCUUAAAAGAAUGGUAGAUCACGUACUGACUAAUAUAUUUAUUUGAUACUGAAAAUGGGUUUUUGUCUUUUAAUUCCCUUAAUUUUCAAUUAUAAUAAGUAGCAUUGGGAUAGAUGCCAGGACAAUGCUAUUUUAAGAGCCAAAGCGACAUUUCUAAUAUGUUGCCAAAGAAAUUAAUGUAAUUGGAUGCUAUAUGACUAACUUACCAAAAAGAUAACAUUAAGUUAUAUUAUUAGUCAAGAUAAAGAUAAACAGUUAUUGCAUUCCUACAUUUUAUAGUCUUUUGAAAAGCAAUCUGGUAACAUCGAUUAACAUUAAAAUUAUAUAUAACUUUUGACCCAGCCAUUGUAUUCCUGGGACUCUCUAAACAGAAUAAAAGGAUAUUCACAAGAACACUUAA